CCCGAGGUACCUGGUUCCCACCGUGGAGGACAGAAAUGUAAGGAUGCUGUUUCUUUCAUGUCAAGGCUGGAGACCGAGAUUUCACAGCAGCUUCACAGAGAACAGAGAUAUGAGAGAAGCUGGGAGAGGGGUUGAUCUUGUGAAGGUACGAGGUGAGCAGACGAGACAGAUUGGCCAAGUACUCUGCUGCUGGGAAGGAAGCAUCUGAGAACUUCGACGUGUGCUGCCCUGCACACCGUGGCCCCAGGAACUGAGGCUGGCCCUGGAGAAAGCUCGCUUCCUGAGAUUCCCACACACAGAUCUCUGGCCUAGACAUCCUUAUUUAUACCAAAGCACAGUUAAUCAGCAGAGGAAGAGCAGGAAACCAGAAGAGAAAGCCUCGGUUAUCGUGACAGCAGGAAGGAGUCAAGGCCACUGGAACGCAGAUUUGGGUGCUCCAGGGAGGACUACACCCUUGGUAUCUCAAGCCAGGAGUGAGGAGCACCGUGGGACAUUUGUGCUACUUGCCAUCCACAGGGCUACGGCUAUUUCAAGGCGAGGAGACCUUGUCAGCAAAAGUUGGAAGUUCAUGAGCUCCUGAUGUGAAACACACUGAGAGUCACGGACCAGUUGUAUUGUUCACGAGACCCCUGAAGCUGUACCAAUCUUCUGCUGAGGUAUCCUGGGAAAACUACCUUUUCCCAAGGCACUGCCAGUCCCCGGCAGCAGUCACAGUGACAGUCACAGAGAAAGUGUCCCAACACCCAUAUGAUGAUCCCAAGGGACAGUGUGGGGUUUAACUGCGUCUCCCAAUCCUUACUGAACUGGAUGAAGCAGAAGCUUUGCCUCUCUUUUUCUUUCUGGUUUUCUUUUCUUCUUUUUGUCUACUCUUUUCACUGCUUCCCUUCUUUCUCUACUUGCCUUUUUCUUACUAAUUACCCUGCAGUUAUGAAUUCAAAGAGAUUUCCCAAAGUCUUGGUAGGCUUUGGAGAUACCUAGAGGAUUAAGAUAUCACAGUCAUUGCCAAUAGUUCCUUAUUCAAGAAGCAUUAGAUCAAAACAACUACAACCCCCCAAAGGUUGAUCCCCCACACCUUGGGGUGAUUAGGGAAGGCUGUACCCAACACUUACAGUUGUAGGCUAAAUCCUGAAGACCUAUAACGAGGCUUCUGAGUGGAACGGAAUGGGGCGAGAGUGGUGGGAGGGAAUGGCGCUAACUUUUACCAUGACUUCACUGUGUCUCCCCAAAAGCUGUGUGCUGGAAAUGUAAUAUCCAAAUUCAUCAUUGGUUGCAUUUGGAAGUUGGACCUUUGGAAGUAAGUUAGGAUUAGAUGAGGUUGUUUGUGAAAGACGGGUCUUCAGGUUAUGUUAAUGGCUUUAUGAGAAAGGAGGCCCAGAGCUACUAACACGCAUUCUGUGUCUCACUGUGUGAUGGUCUUCUUAUAAUGUAGCAGAAAUGCCCACACCCUAUUCUCAUACUUCCCAGGUCUCUAGACUUUUAACACAAAUAAACUCAUAUUUAUAAACUACCCACUUUUAUGUAUUUUUGUUAUAGCAACAGAUGAUAGACUAAAACAGACUAUAAUAGGGUGCUGGCAGAUGAACAGCAGUGAAGGUAACUAUUCCAAAGAAAGCCAAACAGCAAUUAGAGCAUCUGAGAAGUAACUUUAGAACAAUUCCUUCCAUGUAGGACGAGGACUCAGGGACCCGCAGGCGUGAGAAGUAAGCACUGUUCUUUAGAGCAGGGGUCCAGAAGUGGAUCCUGCAGGGUUUGUGAGCGAGAGACAAACCCUCUCACCCAAACAACCUCAUCCAAUCCUAAUUUACUUCCAAAGGUCCAACCUCCAAAUACAACUACUGUAUGAAUUUGGAUAUUACAUUUCCAAAUGUAACCCUGUCACAUUGCAGGGGUGUGAACCACAAAUAUUUUUCACAGAUAAUCUUCACUAUUUUAAACAGGACAGAACAGGAACCUGGACCCUUAAGCCUGUAUUUGCGUGCUUGGUUUUGACUUAUGAAUAUUAUCCCUCUAAAGAAAGAGGACUCCAGGGACUUCCCCAUCCUUACUUCCUCUCUAAACUGAUGCAUAUUCUGAAUCCAGAGACAACCACUGGUUUCUGUGUAACUUAAGUAAGAUUCAGAAAUGUGGUCUGACUGGACAAAAAUCAAGACAAAUCUAAAAAACAAACAAACAAAAACUAAGAAACACCAAGACCUCAAAAUUGAGGAAAGAUAUUCUCUAAAAAUACACAAUUACUCUCAUGGGCGACAUUUCAGAGAAUUUGUUCUCUAAACAGUACCUCUGGCAGUGGCUGGGAAUGCCUGUGGCUAAAUUGUUUUCUAACCCUCAUUUGCCAUUUUCAUUGACUCUAAUAAAUCACAUUCCAUUUAUCACCAUGCUCUAAAUUUAUGUUUAUUCACUCAUUUUCUAUGUUUUUCAGACCCUGCAGAUUUAAUAAAAUGCUAAAUCUGAGUAGGUUGUUGAACAAACUUAUGUAGCAGAUUGGCAUUUAUAGUUAAGUGCUAUCUUCACUCACAUUCAGCUCAGGUCAAUCACCACAGACACAGCUUUUCCCUCUGGCUGUGGCAUCUGCAUGUCAGCCCUCUGGUAGAAUUCUCAGCUCUCUGCACCUGCCAUCACCAAGGUUACUAUGAUGCUGAGUGAUUCUUGCAGUGUAUGUAUCAGUCAGCUUUCCACUACUGUGACAACAUACCUUAGAUUAGUGGCUUUAAAAGAAGAAAGGUUUAUUUUGAUUUGUAGCUUCAGAAGUUUCUGUCUACAGCUGGCUCAGUUGCUUAUAAAGGCCACACCCCCAAUAACCUACAGGCCUCCCAUGAGGCCUCACCCCCUCAAGGUUCUAUCCCCCCAUUCUGCCCUCAGUAGCACACCUGCUGGAGACCAAGCCUUCAACACUGGGCCGAGGAAGUCACUUACCCAAACCAUGAAGCAGUGUGCUGAGGUUCCCGUGCUCUGCUGGAAACUGUCCUGUAGCAAAAUGCAGCUUCUAUUUCUCCCUCUGCAUGGUUGGACAAAAGAACCAAAAUUUCCACACCCACUAAAUCAGUGAUAAGCAUCCAGCAAGGUGAUGUUUAGGGAGCCAGAGUCCUGCCCGAGUGUUGCUCAUGAGAUUCCUCACAGUCAGACACAGAGCUCCAUCUCAGUCCUCUGAAUCCUUGGAGGGAAAGAUAGCUCUCCACACCCAAGUCAUGGAUCAGUAGAGUCCUUUCCUCAUGUCCUAUGUGCCUUUCUGCUCCUGGCUGUCUCUCUCACUUUCUUGCUGUCUGCAUGUUUGUUCAUCUUUUUCACACAAACACACACACACACACACACACACACACACACACACUCACAUUCACGUGCACACUCUCCCUUCUGUUCUAUUCAUUACCAUGCCUGCCUCCUUGUUUUCAAAAGAAAGAAAACAAUCAAGAACAUUUCCACCCAGUAAAUCUAUCUCCUGAAUAGGCUAAUAUAUUUCCCCCAGCACACUGUGUGGGAGGUCAAGUGAUAGCAGAGGUUUUCUAGGACUGCUGGAGAGAGAAUUUUAUAUCUCCUAUUAGAUGCUGAGCUUAGAUGCUCAACGAGCAGAGAGGUGCGAUCAUUAACUUUUUAUUUUAAGGAUGUAAACCAGAGGAGGUUAUUGGUCAGUCUCAUCCAGAGGAACAAAUGAGAAAUAUUAGUCAGGCUUCCCAAAUGGCCAUGAGGUGCGUGACCUUGGACAAGUGAUUAAACGUAUUCCUCUCGACUUUAUCAAAUGGGAUGACAAUCAUAUUUUCUUUAUUGUAAGACCAUUAUGAAAAUUAAAUGGAAAACUGCUCCCCGCCCUGGAACACUUCUGGGAAUAGAGAGCAAGCACUCCCUGGAUGUUUGAUGUUAAUAUUUUUGUUUCUUAGCCUGACAAAAAAGAUGUCAAACACACAAUCACAAGAAAAAUAGUAUUCUAACAUAUGUCUCUAAAUUUCCACGGCAGGUUUUCUGUUCCUUUGACAAUUCUGUAACAUUUCCAAGCAUAGUUAUGUGUGCCCCAGGGAAAGUAGGGCAUUGGGUUGAGAUGUAGGGGGAGUGGUCCCCUGUUUCACAUUCUACCAUACAGAUCCAGCACGAAAGGCCCAAAGAUCAUGUUCCAUCUAAUGAAUCAUGCAAUCCGUUCUGUGCUUUACUUUUUCACAAAUGAAAUGUUAAUGCUGGAAAGAUCAUUUACAUAUGGCCUACUAGUUAUUUAAGAAAACAACAAUUAAACAUGUUGAGAUAAUUAACAGUGUGCACAUGAUUAACAAUGCUUUUUAGAUGCUAGAAAUUAAUGGCGGAGAUGCCAAAUAAAUGUAAUCCCACACUUCA